UCCGAGUUGACCCCGGCAGUCUCCUAUGAGUCCCCACCAUCACGUGCUGGCAACAUAGAACGAGGGUUGCGCUCGUUGCGGGACUUAACCCAACAUCUCACGACACGAGCUGACGACAGCCAUGCACCACCUGUACACCGACCACAAGGGGGCGCCCAUCUCUGGACGUUUCCGGCGUAUGUCAAACCCAGGUAAGGUUCUUCGCGUUGCAUCGAAUUAAUCCGCAUGCUCCGCCGCUUGUGCGGGCCCCCGUCAAUUCCUUUGAGUUUCACCCUUGCGGGCGUACUCCCCAGGUGGAUUACUUAACGCUUUCGCUAAGACGCUGACAGCUUAUCGCCAACAUCGAGUAAUCAUCGUUUACGGCGUGGACUAC
rnacentral:misc_RNA from 1 species